GCGCAACUAAACCUGACGCUACGUCAUAGGGUGGACCACAACUUGGAGGCGGGGCCAUAGUGUGACAGGAAGCAUUGCAUCACACACACGCAACCAACAGCUCUUUUAAAGUGUGUGGACGCCAAUAGGACGAGACGCGGAGAAACAGGGACCCGAGAUGCAUUUGCAGAAGGAGGACGAGGGCGGAGCUUGUCACCUCGGAGCUGUUGGUGAUCCACCAGAAGAACGUCAUCAUCCUGACUUGACUCGGCCAAACCACCGCCGUCAGGUUGGUCUCCUUCCCCCUGACGGUCACCAGAGGAGCCGAGAGGUACACGCGCUCCACUGGACCUGUGGACAGUCUUGGUACUACACCAGCCAUCUGGUUUGGGGGAGGAGCCUCAGGAUUGUCAGUGGAGAUACUGUUACUGUAUGUGUGGUGUGCUAGGCUGGUCAUUGAGUACACUGCACACUAAGAAUGAAUCGACCCGGCAUCACGUUGUCGUGCACAAGCUGCCACUUCUUCCCGAAGUCCAUGGAGCUGUACAGCUGCAAGAUAAUAGCUAUGGUAACAACAGCGAGGAAGUCGAUAGCGAGCAACCACCGCCGCAAUC